CUUUUAGGUGCGUCUUGUUGUCACGGAUGCUUGUGUUAAAAUUGGCUACAGGCAAGGACAACCUCAGCCUAACAUGUGUUAAUCAUUUGAUUGUUGACUGUUGAGUUGGGGGACUACUGUUUGUUAUCCAUUGUACCUGUUGAAUGGACACAAUGCAGUAUCAACUCGGUUGCAAUGGAAGUUGAUGUUCUCGUUUUCCUGGUGUAUGGCAGCUUAAGUGAAGCAUGGAUUUCAACAAAUAAGCGAGUAGGAAACUUGCCAUUAUUGAUUCUACCAGAUAGCACUGCUCUUUUUCCAUUACUAAAUGCAGUUUUGUUUUUAUUGAUAAUUCUAUUUAUUGUAGCUUUUGCGAGCAAGUGACAGCAUUAAUGUUUUGCUAUAAAUAUAAUAUUGCAUUAAUGAAUAUUAUUACAGUCUCCAUGAAAAUGAUUACUUUGUUAUGAAUUAAAGUUUAUGAUAAUUUAGUCUCACAUGAUUAAGUGAGAAACAGGAAGGGAAUACGCUAACUUUGCACACGAUGAAUUUUGUUCUGAAAGAGUGAAGGUGUUGAUAAAACUUUGUAUAUAUAGAUGGCAAAAAGCAUCUGUUGAACCUAAAUUAUGACUAAAAUUAUUAUUAUAGGCAUAUAUAAUAAUAUCUUAUGUUUGAUGUAAUACACAAUAGUCUCUAGAGCUUUUGUUUUAUCCCCUUUUGACUUCAUCACAAAAUAAA